rnacentral:rRNA from 1 species
GAUGAACGCUAGCUACAGGCUUAACACAUGCAAGUCGAGGGACCGGCGCACGGGUGAGUAACACGUAUCCAACCUGCCCUUUACUCGGGGAUAGCCUUUCGAAAGUAAGAUUAAUACCCGAUAUAAAGGAUGGGGAUGCGUUCCAUUCGGUUGUUGGUGAGGUAACGGCUCACCAAGCCUUCGAUGGAUAGGGGUUCUGAGAGGAAGGUCUCCCACAGUGGAACUGAGACACGAUUCAAACUCGUACGGGAGGCAGCAGUGAGGAAUAUUGGUUAAUGGGCGCUAGCCUGAACCAGCCAAGUAGCGUGAAGAAUGAAGGCUUAUGGGUCGUAAACUUCGUUUCUAUGAGAAUAUGUAUUAUAUGAAUCAAGAUCGGCUGACUCCGUGGCAGGAGCCGGGGUAAUAC